GUAUUAAAGGUCUAGCCUGCCCAGUGAACAACUUUAACGGCCGCGGUAUCCUAACCGUGCAAAGGUAGCGUAAUCACUUGUUCUUUAAAUGAGGACUAGUAUGAACGGCUACAUGAGGGCCCGACUGUCUCCUGCAGCCAAUCAAUGAAACUGAUCUCCCAGUACAAAAGCUGGAAUAAACACAUAAGACGAGAAGACCCUGUGGAGCUUCAAACAAAUCUUAGCUCACCCUAUAAAGCCUAACUGACAUAAAAUUGGUGAAACUAAACGUUUUAAGUUGGGGCGACUGCGGGGAAAAACAAAACCCCCAUGGAAAACACUAUUUUAAGUGCACACACUGACAGUAAAAAUUUGAUCCAGUAUAGCUGAUUAACGAACCAAGUUACCCCAGGGAUAACAGCGCAAUCUCCUUCAAGAGUCCCUAUCGCCAAGGGGGUUUACGACCUCGAUGUUGGAUCAGGACAUCCAGACGGUGUAGCCGCUAUCAAGGGUUCGUUUGUUCAACGAUUAACAGUCCU
rnacentral:rRNA from 1 species